rnacentral:rRNA from 1 species
AACGCGAAGAACCUUACCAGGGCUUGACAUGUACAGGAAUAUUUAAGAGAUUAAAUAGUUUCUUCGGAAACUUGUACACAAGUGGUGCAUGGUUGUCGUCAGCUCGUGUCGUGAGAUGUUGGGUUAAGUCCCGCAACGAGCGCAACCCCUAUGUUUAUUUGCCAGCAUUUUGGAUGGGAACUAUAGACAGACUGCCGAUAAGAAAUCGGAGGAAGGUGGGGAUGACGUCAAAUCAUCAUGCCCUAUAUGUCCUGGCUACACACGUGCUACAAUGGUCGUUACAGAGAGCAGCUACACAGCGAUGUCACGCGAAUCUCAAAAAGGCGAUCUCAGUUCGGAUUGUACUCUGCAACUCGAGUACAUGAAGUCGGAGUUGCUAGUAAUCGCAAAUCAGAAUGUUGCGGUGAAUGCGUUCCCGGGCCUUGUACACACCG